rnacentral:rRNA from 1 species
UCCAGACUCCUACGGGAGGCAGCAGUGGGGAAUAUUGCACAAUGGGCGAAAGCCUGAUGCAGCAACGCCGCGUGAAGGAAGAAGGGUUUCGGCUCGUAAACUUCUAUCAACAGGGACGAAAGAAAUGACGGUACCUGAAUAAGAAGCCCCGGCUAACUACGUGCCAGCAGCCGCGGUAAUACGUAGGGGGCAAGCGUUAUCCGGAAUUACUGGGUGUAAAGGGCGUGUAGGCGGGAAAGCAAGUCAGAUGUGAAAACCAUGGGCUCAACCUGUGGCCUGCAUUUGAAACUGUUUUUCUUGAGUACUGGAGAGGCAGACGGAAUUCCUAGUGUAGCGGUGAAAUGCGUAGAUAUCAGGAGGAACACCGGCGGCGAAGGCGGCUUACUGGACGGCAACCGACGUUGAGGCCCGAAAGCGUGGGGAGCGAACAGGAUUAGAUACCCCUGUA